UACGUAGGGUGCGAGCGUUGUCCGGAAUUACUGGCGUAAAGAGCUACGUAGGCGGUUUGUCGCGUUCGUCUGUGAAAUUCUGCAACUCAAUUGUAGGCGUGCAGGCGAUACGGGCAGACUUGAGUACUACAGGGGAGACUGGAAUUCCUGGUGUAGGCGGUGAAAUGCGCAGAUAUCAAGGAGGAACACCGGGUGGUCGAAG
rnacentral:rRNA from 1 species